AGUGAACGCUGGCGGUAGGCCUAACACAUGCAAGUCGAACGGCAGCACAGUAAGAGCUUGCUCUUACGGGUGGCGAGUGGCGGACGGGUGAGGAAUACAUCGGAAUCUACUUUUUCGUGGGGGAUAACGUAGGGAAACUUACGCUAAUACCGCAUACGACCUACGGGUGAAAGCAGGGGAUCUUCGGACCUUGCGCGAUUGAAUGAGCCGAUGUCGGAUUAGCUAGUUGGCGGGGUAAAGGCCCACCAAGGCGACGAUCCGUAGCUGGUCUGAGAGGAUGAUACGCCCCCGUGGAAGUGAGACACGUCCCAGCCCCCUAGGGGAGGCAGAGGGGGGGAAUUUUGGAAAAAGGGCGGAAGCCUGACCCAGCCAACCCGGGGGGGUGAAGAAGGCCUUCGGGUUGUAAACCCCUUUUUUUGGGAAAAAAAACCAGCAGGUUAAACCCCCGUUGUUUGAAGGGAACCAAAAAAAAAAGCACGGCCAACUUCGGG
rnacentral:rRNA from 1 species